rnacentral:rRNA from 1 species
UACGUAGGGUGCAAGCGUUAAUCGGAAUUACUGGGCGUAAAGCGUGCGCAGGCGGUUUUUGUAAGUCUGUCGUGAAAUCCCCCGGGCUCAACCUGGGAAUUGCGAUGGAGACUGCAAGGCUAGAAUCUGGCAGAGGGGGGGUAGAAUUCCACGUGUAGCAGUGAAAUGCGUAAAGAUGUGGAGGAACACCGAUGGCGAAGGCAGCCCCCCUGGGUCAAGAUUGA